rnacentral:lncRNA from 1 species
AGAAAGGUAUCAAAAUCCCUUUUUACCAGCAACCCCCUCAACAAUACACAAUUUAAUUUCAGUUUAGCAGCUCAGAAUCUGAUACUUUUCGCCGGAGCCCUUCUGAAUGUCCGUUUGAGCUCAAAUUUGACAGUCAGGCUCAGUUUAAGCUAAUAAAACAGAAAAUAUCUUAACGUUUUAGUUUCGACUAUUUUUUGUCACCGAAAGCUCUACCGAACUGAAAUCUCUAGCAGAUAGCAGUCAGAUUUUAUUUUCCACUUUCCGGGUGUUGGAAUGAUAUGAAACUUUAAAUCUAGCCUUAUAAAAAUAAUCCCGACAUAUUCCUAAGUUUUCAUAAUUUUCUAAAAUUGUGAAUUUUCUGCUAAAAUAUCCGCUUCGUUUCUCACAGAAAAUUCUAAAUCUUCUAUUUCUGUUCCGAUUUCAGUAUAAGUCAUUUCUGACUUAUAUUUUACUUUUUUUUAAGUCAAAUAAAAAUAGUAUCUCACACUAUUUUUUUUUAUAUUUACUUUUAUAUUAAAAUUCGGUACAUUACACUAUGAGUACGAUCCAAUCCUCACUUGGAGGAUACCAUGUCACUAUU